rnacentral:rRNA from 1 species
CGCGUGAGGGAGGGGCCCUUGGGUUGUAAACCUCUUUUCUCAAGGAAGAAGACAGUGACGGUACUUGAGGAAUCAGCAUCGGCUAACUCCGUGCCAGCAGCCGCGGUAAUACGGAGGAUGCAAGCGUUAUCCGGAAUUAUUGGGCGUAAAGCGUCCGCAGGUGGACAUACAAGUCUGCUGUCAAAGUGCGGAGCUUAACUCUGUAAAGGCGGUGGAAACUGUAGGUCUUGAGUAUGGUAGGGGUAGAGGGAAUUCCCGGUGUAGCGGUGAAAUGCGUAGAUAUUGGGAAGAACACCAGUGGCGAAAGCGCUCUACUGGGCCAUAACUGACACUGAGGGACGAAAGCUAGGGGAGCGAAAGGGAUUAGAUACCCCCUAG